CAUCCAUUUUCACCGUUUCGAAACCAUUUUAUUUCCCCCAAAUUUCAAACCCUAACAUCGAAAAUUCGUCUGCGAUCUUCCCAAAGCGUCAACAAACCAACCAAUUUUCAUCUUCUUUCUCUUCGGGAUAUUCGUUUAUCAAAGACAGAAAACUAGGUUUUACCUUCGAUUAUUUUCGUCAAAUUCAACUUGUUGAACAUUGUUCAUCAUGAAGUUCCUAGAGUGUGCUCCUCUUGACCGGCUUUCUUUUUAAAAUUUCACAUUGAAGCAAGUUGACUGGUAAAACAUGUGCUUCUGUCAUGGCGAUGUGUCUUGGUGUGGAGG